rnacentral:rRNA from 1 species
AUGAACCAUGGAAGCUGGAGGAGAAAGCAAGACCCCCCGUCCCAUAUUUGUACCGAUCGCAAGAAAAGAUGUGUGGUCGUCAACGGGGUGGUGUACUUCUUGAUGGACUUUUAUUCGACAUACUUGGAAACUGGGGUUAUAACCAUUGAGCCGGGUAGCGUAGCUUCGUUCAACCUGGAGACAGAAGAGUGGGGUGUUCUACAUGGUCCACAACAGGUGCUGAGGUUUGUGCAUGAGAAGGGUUACAGUCCCAUAUCAUUGGCUGAACUGAAUGGCUGUUUAGUUAUGGUUCACAAUAUUUAUCACAUAUCUAUGGACUUGUGGGUUUUGCUAGAUUUUCAGAAAUGUAUCUGGGUUAAGAAAUACAACAUGCCAUCCCAUGUUGCUAGGCCUUGUAGGUACCCUUUCCUGAUGUUAGAUGAUGGGAGGAUCUUUUUCAGUGAAGAGCAUUAUCUACAAUGUAUCCUUGGUAAUGGAGAGCCAGGAGAGGUAUUUCUGUGA